AAGCAGCCAAAAUUCCACACGGCCUUACCGGCCCCCGUAGAUCUCUCAACAUCUCGCGAGAUCUGUUUCUGCUGGGUGGUUAACUGAGACGGCAGAGUUCCUGGCGUGGACGCAGUGCUUUCUGCUUUACCUCCGUCUCAGUGCUGUUCCAGCUGCUCUGCGGGGACCUACCAGCCUUACCAAUAGAAACCUGUACUUUUUACUCAAGGUCAUACAGCUCUGUAUCAGAUAGCAGCAGAGCUUCAGCAAUAACAUCAGAUGCCAUCGUAGAUUAAUGUUUCAGUUAUCCUUACACAGUUUGAUCAUUUUUGAAGCUGGCCUGGUUAAAAAGUUCCUAUUGAUAAUGACUGCAGUUCAAGCUUCUGCUGCUGAGCAGCUUCUACUCCUGGU